AAACCAACUGGGAUUACCUUAGUAACGGCGAGUGAAGCGGUAAAAGCUCAAAUUUGAAAUCUGGUACUUUUAGUGCCCGAGUUGUAAUUUGUAGAAUUUGUCUUUGAUUAGGUCCUUGUCUAUGUUCCUUGGAACAGGACGUCAUAGAGGGUGAGAAUCCCGUUUGGCGAGGAUACCUUUUCUCUGUAAGACUUUUUCGAAGAGUCGAGUUGUUUGGGAAUGCAGCUCAAAGUGGGUGGUAAAUUCCAUCUAAAGCUAAAUAUUGGCGAGAGACCGAUAGCGAACAAGUACAGUGAUGGAAAGAUGAAAAGAACUUUGAAAAGAGAGUGAAAAAGUACGUGAAAUUGUUGAAAGGGAAGGGCAUUUGAUCAGACAUGGUGUUUUUUGCAUGCACUCGCCUCUCGUGGGCUUGGGCCUCUCAAAAAUUUCACUGGGCCAACAUCAAUUCUGGCAGCAGGAUAAAUCAUUAAGAACGUAACUACUUCGGUAGUGUUAUAGCUUUUUGGAAUACUGCUAGCUGGGAUUGA
rnacentral:rRNA from 1 species